ensembl:lncRNA
AGGGCAACCAUUUUGAGUAUUACUUUCCCUGUGCUUUCUCUGUGCUACUUUUCAAAUCGCACUGAUAACCCUAGGUAGCAUAUGAUGAUAAUGCUUGCUGCAACCUCUGCUACUAGUUUUUACUUCUUUCUUUUAUGUUGUAGCAGGAAUAUCUGACUGCAUUUUGAAAUGAUCUGUCCUAUGGUUAUUUUUUUCAACCGUAAAUACACAGAGUUUGGAACACUGACUGAAAGAAUGUGAAAAAUUAAUUUGGAGAUACCCAGUGUGAUUAAAAAUACAGUUCCCCCUUCAGAUUGCUUAUGCUUCAGUUCACAAAAGAGUAUGAUGCAUGAACACGAGAGAAGAAGAACAAGAGUAGUUGCAAAACUGCUAUUAUAUAAAAUAUCUAUCGAUGUCCUCAGUGAUUUCAAAGGAGUAAACCUUCUGAAAAUAGGCAUUAAAUGCAAAGAGUUUAAGCUACAUGUAAAUUCCUGUAGCUUUAAUUUCCCACUCUCUGGCUUUCAGCUCUAAGAGCUGCCUCAUCAAUAGCAAUCAGAAGGUUCUAGGACCUGGGUGGACUUUUAAGAUUUGUGACUGCAUCCUGUAGGUAGGCAAUGUCAGCUAAUCCCAUAAGCAUACUAUUGUGGACUGACUUUGGAGAACUUUAAAAGAGAAGAAUGGAGAUUUUUCUAGGGUAUUUAUUUAGCCUAGGCUUCUCUCAUUCUCAUGUAACAGUUCUCUGAUCUGAGUGUCAAAUUUGUAGCUUUUAAGAGUGAAAAGGGAUAGGUAUUGCAUAAAAUAAAUGUUAAACUCAUGUGGAAGCGGUAAGGCUCUGAUUUAACCUCCAGAAUAACUACUAAAUCUAGUGCUGUCAGAAAUUUGUGGUGUUUUUCUGAUUUGCAGUUCCCAUUCUGCUGAGAAUGCAUAAUUAGCAAGGAAAAAGAAAAGUCUAAGUAAUUUCAUGACUUGUUAUGAAGAUGCAAUUUCUGCCUUUGUUUCCACUAAUAUUCAAUUUCUUCCCUCCAGUUCAAAUAAUACCAUGUUCAGUUAAAAAGAAAGACUCUAUUUUUGAGAAAUCUAAUUGUAUUACUAUGUCUUUUGAAACUCUUCUCCACCGUGUUUUUGUCCUUAUGUAUCUUCAGGCAGUUUUAGUGUCAUAGAAUCAUAAAAUCAUAGAAUCAUAGAAUUAUAGAUUCAUAAGUUCAUAGAUUCAUUCUAUGGGUUGGAAGGAAUCUUAAAUAUCAUCUAGUUCCAACCGCCCUGUCAUGGGCAGGGACACCUUCCACUAGACCAGGUUGCUCAAAGACCCCUCCAACCUGGCCUUGAACACUGUCAGGGAUGGGGCAGCUACAACUUUUCUGGGCAACCUGUGCCAGUGCCUCAGCACCUUCACAGUAAAGAACUUCUUCCUAAUGUCUAAUCUAGAUCUACCCUCUUCCAGCUUAAAGCCAUCACCCACCUGUACUAUUACUACAUGCCCUUCUAAGAAGUCCCUCUCCAGCUUUCUUGUAGGCCCCCUUAGAGAUGCUCCAGCCCUCUGAUCAUCGUUGUGGCAUCCUCUGGUCUCACUCCAACAUGUCUUUGUCCUUCUUCCCUUGGGGAUCUCAGAAGGUGAACAAAUGCAGGCUCUAGUGUUUGUAUUUAGCCAAUCUCCAGCUAGAUUUUUGCUUCCUGUGGCUUUCUUCUCUGUUUGCAUGGAAACAGUAAGAUGUUUUCAUGUAAAGUAGUUCUGGGGUAUACAUUGCCUACCUUUUUUCACUGGGAGCUGUUAGGCUAAAUAUCUCUGCUCAGCUUUGAAAAAAUGAGCCUAUGUGUACAUGUUAUUACUUGUAUUACUUGUAGUACUAUAGUGCAUAUGGGCUGUAAUCACAACCCAGAAAUUUAUUUUGCCAAAUGCUGUAAAAACAUAUGCCCUGCCCUGGAAGACUUACAGUCUAAACAAAUAAAUAUGUUUCAAUUUUUACAUCAGAGGGACAUGACGUGUUCAAGGAUCUGUGUAUUUGGUUGCAUUAUAUAUAAUACUCUAUGUGAUACCUGCAUCAUGUAUCAACUCUUAGGGAUACAGAGCUCAGAUAAAUAACUUUGCAUUAUAGCUUUGUAAUAUGAGGUGUUUAAUUAAUUAUUUGGAUAAAUCUUUGAACAAAUUUUGACCUUUUUUAUUCUGAAGGUCUUCUGCAGACAUGCCAGCCACUGGUUUAUGCAAAAGGUUGUUACAACUUCAUAAAAUCACAAAAACGAGAAGCACUAAGCCUUUUUGCUGUUGCAAAUUUUAUAAUGGCAGAUUCCCCUCCUGUUGCUGGCACUAUUCCUUUUCCAUAGGUGGAAAGAACAGACAGAAGUUUGGACAUCCUGUUUCAAUGUCUUUGAGAGCCAGAAUCCCUUUUCUUCAUGAACUACUUUCUUUGCAUUUGCCAAGAAACAUUCUCUCACCCAGACAGUAUAACUGUAUUAAAAGUAGAUAGUCUCCUCAGAAAUGGUGCCUCAGAUCCUGAAUUUCAUGUUAAAGAUUUAACAUGGAAUUUCAGAAGAAAAAAAGCCCAGAAAACAGGAAAUCACUUGCAUGCUCCAACCCUCACUUUGUCCUGCAUCAGAUCAACUCUUUCAGAGUGUAUGUAAAAUAAUGCUCAUACAUACUUCUAUAAGUCUUCCUAGGUUUAUCUCUCUUACUCAAGGAUGGAAAGGGAGCUCUUGUUAUGCAGGAUUCACUUCAGUCCUCUCACCUAGUUGUCAAAACAAAACCUAAUGAUGCAGUUUCCCAUCUUUACAACAUGAAUCAAGGAGAUAAAAUCUUUACACCACUGGUCCUGCAUGGCUGGUGGUUUAAUAGGAGAGUAUGUCACAAAACUGACAUUAUGGAUGUAGAGACAUAAUUUUGAAAGUCUCAGUUUUCGUUCUUUUAUUCUGGUAUAGUACAAAUAUGAACAGAGAUAAUCAGAUUCUUUCUCACUGUUACCUGAGUAACUGUUUUGACUUAAGUUAGAAAGCAAAGUUUCAACUGAGGGCAGAAUAUGGCCAAUUCUAUCGAUUUGGUCUUGUUUGACCAUUUGAAUUAUUUAACAACAUCAGCAAAAUUCUUUCUAAUUCUUAAAACUGCUUCAGACAGCGUAAGUUUCUGAAGCAGGAAGUCUCUUUUGUGUCUGGUUAAGAAUUAAUGUACUUUUCAAUUUGCUUUACAAAAAAUCCCUAUUUAUAAUAAUAGAAUUUACAGGUGCUCCAGUGUCAUACUGAUGGCAAGAAAUGAAAGAAAA